UACGGGGGGGGCAAGCGUUGUUCGGAAUUACUGGGCGUACAGGGCGCGUAGGCGGGUGGACAAGUCUCUCGUGAAAGCCCACGGCUCAACCGUGGAAUUGCGGGAGAUACUGUCUGUCUUGAGUCCGGGAGAGGAGGGUGGAAGUCCCAGUGUAGCGGUGACAUGCGUAGAUAUUGGGCGGAUCACCGGUGGCGAAGGCGUCUCUCUGGACCGGUACUGACGCUGAGGCGCGAAAGCUAGGGGAGCAAACGGG
rnacentral:rRNA from 1 species